UACGGAGGGGACUAGCGUUGUUCGGAAUUACUGGGCGUAAAGCGCACGUAGGCGGAUUUGUAAGUCAGGGGUGAAAUCCCGGGGCUCAACCUCGGAACUGCCUUUGAUACUGCAAAUCUCGAGUCCGGAAGAGGUGAGUGGAAUUCCUAGUGUAGAGGGUGAAAUUCGAUAGAUAUUAGGAAGAAACACCAGUGGCGAAGGCGGCUCACUGGUCCGGUACUGGACGCUGAGGCGCGAAAGCGUGGGGAGCAAACAGG
rnacentral:rRNA from 1 species